UCGUUCCCGCCGCCGGGCGGGAAUGGGAGCGUUUGCUUCGCGUCGUAGGCCUUUGAAGACGCGGGGUAGACGCAUUUUUUGUU
rnacentral:ncRNA from 1 species